rnacentral:rRNA from 1 species
AAAGACCUUAUGCUUUUGGAGCGGCCGAUGUCUGAUUAGCUAGUUGGUAAGGUAAAGGCUUACCAAGGCGACGAUCAGUAGUUGGUCUGAGAGGACGACCAGCCACACUGGGACUGAGACACGGCCCAGACUCCUACGGGAGGCAGCAGUGGGGAAUUUUGGACAAUGGGCGAAAGCCUGAUCCAGCAAUGCCGCGUGAGUGAAGAAGGCCUUCGGGUUGUAAAGCUCUUUCAGUCGAGAAGAAAAGAUUGUGACUAAUAAUCAUAAUUUAUGACGGUAUCGACAGAAGAAGCACCGGCUAACUACGUGCCAGCAGCCGCGGUAAUACGUAGGGUGCGAGCGUUAAUCGGAAUUACUGGGCGUAAAGGGUGCGCAGGCGGUUCUGCAAGUCAGAUGUGAAAUCCCCGGGCUUAACCUGGGAACU